rnacentral:rRNA from 1 species
AACGAACGCUGGCGGCGUGGAUAAGACAUGCAAGUCGAACGGGGUGUACGAGUAGCAAUACUUUGUGCACCUAGUGGCGCACGGGUGAGUAACACGUGAGCAACCUGCCGGAAAGUGGGGGAUAGCUCGCCGAAAGGCGAAUUAAUACCGCAUGUGGCCUGGAAGGACAUCCUUCCUACGCCAAAGUCGCAAGACGCUUUCCGAUGGGCUCGCGACCUAUCAGCUUGUUGGUGAGGUAACGGCUCACCAAGGCAAUGACGGGUAGCUGGUCUGAGAGGACAACCAGCCACACUGGAACUGAGACACGGUCCAGACACCUACGGGUGGCAGCAGUCGAGAAUCAUUCACAAUGGGCGAAAGCCUGAUGGUGCGACGCCGCGUGGAGGAUGAAGGCCCUCGGGUUGUAAACUCCUGUCAAGUGGGAACAAGAAAGUGAUAGUACCACUAGAGGAAGAGACGGCUAACUCUGUGCCAGCCGCCGCAGUAA